UAGGGAAUCUUCCGCAAUGGGCGCAAGCCUGACGGAGCAACGCCGCGUGAGUGAUGAAGGUCUUCGGAUCGUAAAACUCUGUUAUUAGGGAAGAACAAACGUGUAAGUAACUGUGCACGUCUUGACGGUACCUAAUCAGAAAGCCACGGCUAACUACGUGCCAGCCGCCGCGGUAAUACGUAGGUGGCAAGCGUUAUCCGGAAUUAUUGGGCGUAAAGCGCGCGUAGGCGGUUUUUUAAGUCUGAUGUGAAAGCCCACGGCUCAACCGUGGAGGGUCAUUGGAAACUGGAAAACUUGAGUGCAGAAGAGGAAAGUGGAAUUCCAUGUGUAGCGGUGAAAUGCGCAGAGAUAUGGAGGAACACCAGUGGCGAAGGCGACUUUCUGGUCUGUAACUGACGCUGAUGUGCGAAAGCGUGGGGAUCAAACA
rnacentral:rRNA from 1 species